rnacentral:rRNA from 1 species
AACGAACGCUGGCGGCGUGCCUAACACAUGCAAGUCGAACGGAGUAUAUUUUGUAGCAAUACGGGAUAUACUUAGUGGCGGACGGGUGAGUAACACGUAAGUAACCUACCCUUAAGCUGGGGACAACCCCGAGAAAUCGGGGCUAAUACCCGAUAAGACCACGAACUGAGAUGUUAGUGGUAAAAGGAGCAAUUCACUGAAGGAUGGGCUUGCGGCCUAUCAGGUAGUUGGUGAGGUAAUGGCCCACCAAGCCUAAGACGGGUAGCCGGACUGAGAGGUCGAACGGCCACACUGGAACUGAGAUACGGUCCAGACUCCUACGGGAGGCAG